GAGCAACUGGAUAGCAAAGCCUCAAGCCCAUGGAAAACAUUUAUAAACCUCCAUGACAAGCCAUCUUCACAAACCCCGAAAUAGAACUGGUGACAAAUCCCCAACAGCUACAAGACCUGCAUGGUAGUAACAUCUAUGUGAAAAGAAGACAGAAGUAAUGGGGCAGUGUCGAUGAAGGAUCUGAGAAGAGAGAAUUCCAAAGAGCUGACAAUAAUUCACUGGCAAGCACAGUGGACGUCUUUGGAAACAGCUGAUGAAACUGGGAGGGGCUUUGUUCAGCCCAGUGUUGGGUGACUGCAAGGAGUGCCUGGUAGACUAUGAAGGGGCUGGCAUUGUCCAGACCCUGUGAACUUUGAAAAGGACCUGCACAGGUUUGUUUCUAGGGCAGAGUCCCACAUUGAGGAGAGAUUGCUAGGAGUGGAGGCAAAAUUGAGCCAGGCAGGGGCAACAGGGAUGAAGAAAGAGAGGGCCAAAUAAAAGUAGGGCAAUGAGAAUAGAGCCAGGACAUUUUAAGGGACUAUUUUAUUUUUAAAUAAUGCAUAAAACCAUGGAAUAUGGGGCAGUUUGAACUUAUACAGUUUAUCAUGAAAGAUGUUUCCUUCUAAAAAUUCAGGAAAACAAAAUUCACAUAAAAUUAGUAUAGGGAAAGAUCACAGUCAAAUGUCAUUUAAAGUUAUUAUUCAAAAA
rnacentral:lncRNA from 1 species